rnacentral:rRNA from 1 species
CCUACGGGAGGCAGCAGUAGGGAAUAUUGCUCAAUGGGGGAAACCCUGACGCAGCAACGCCGCGUGGAGGAUGAAGGUUUUCGGAUUGUAAACUCCUUUUGUUAGAGAAGAAAAUGACGGUAUGUAACUAAUCAUCUCCGGCUAACUCCGGUCCAGCAGCCGCGGUAAUACGGAGGGCGCAAGCGUUACUCGGAAUCACUGGGCGUAAAGAGCGCGUAGGCGGGAUAGCAAGUCAGGUGUGAAAGCCUAUGGCUUAACCAUAGAACUGCAUUUGAAACUGUUAUUCUAGAGUAUGGGAGAGGUAGGUAGAAUUCGUGGUGUAGGGGUAAAAUCCGUAGAGAUCAAGAGGAAUACUCAUUGCGAAGGCGACAAGCUAGAACAUAACUGACGCUGAUGCGCGAAAGCGUGGGGAGCAAACAGGAUUAGAUACCCCAGUAGUC